UGAAACGAUUAAGCGCCUGAACUUGAAUGGGACCGGAAAUGCAUUCAAGUUGACGAGGAUGGGGAGUAUCGAAAAUUCGGCGGAUGCCCCACGGUAGACAGGAUUGCCGCAGGUAUUUUCAAAACUCAAAAGUGAUUUUGAGGACAAAGAAAAUAUUCAUCCUGAA
rnacentral:ncRNA from 2 species